UACAGAGGGUGCAAGCGUUGAUCGGAAUUAUUGGGCGUAAAGGGCGCGUAGGCGGGCAAAUAAGUCAGAUGUGAAAGCCCUGGGCUUAACCUAGGAACUGCAUUUGAUACUGUAAGUCUAGAGUGGAGUAGAGGGUAGCGGAAUUCUCGGUGUAGCGGUGAAAUGCGUAGAUAUCGGGAAGAACACCAGUGGCGAAGGCGGCUUCCUGGGCUCCAACUGACACUGAGGCGCGAAAGCGUGGGGAGCGAACAGG
rnacentral:rRNA from 1 species